rnacentral:lncRNA from 10 species
UGAUUUCUAAGAGUCUCAGAGACCUAGGAUCCACAAAAUCAAAACAACAAAACCAAGCCUUUGUGCACAUCUGUGGUUGUGACCAGUUGGAGAGACAUUAGGAGAUGAGAUACUAUGUUCACUCCUCACAGCUGUACCAGGGACCUGAGAUAUUCCGUCACUAUUCUAUGAGCCUGGGCUGGUGAAUGGUUCCUGCUUUCACUAUUCCAGAUGUCCAGCUCUGUACCUUGCUGCUCUCCUUAAAGCCUGCCUCCCUCUAGGGAGCUAUGGUGCAUUACUCACGAGUGACAGAACCAACGAGCUUCAUCUCCCAAGAGGCUGGUGCAUCUGUUUAAAGGAGCAGGCACUAGGCAGAGCAGCCCCCACCCCACCCUCCAUGGCAGAGUGCAGUGGGGGAAGGGAUGGGAUUUCACCAUGUUGUCCAAGCUGGUUUUGAACUCCUGGGGUCAAGAAAUCCACCUGCUUCGGCCUCCCACAGUGCUGGGA